rnacentral:rRNA from 1 species
ACGCUGGCGGCAGGCCUAACACAUGCAAGUCGAGCGGUAGCACGGGAGAGCUUGCUCUCUGGGUGACGAGCGGCGGACGGGUGAGUAAUGUCUGGGAAACUGCCUGAUGGAGGGGGAUAACUACUGGAAACGGUAGCUAAUACCGCAUGACCUCGCAAGAGCAAAGUGGGGGACCUUCGGGCCUCACGCCAUCGGAUGUGCCCAGAUGGGAUUAGCUAGUAGGUGGGGUAAUGGCUCACCUAGGCGACGAUCCCUAGCUGGUCUGAGAGGAUGACCAGCCACACUGGAACUGAGACACGGUCCAGACUCCUACGGGAGGCAGCAGUGGGGAAUAUUGGACAAUGGGCGAAAGCCUGAUCCAGCCAUGCCGCGUGUGUGAAGAAGGUCUUCGGAUUGUAAAGCACUUUAAGUUGGGAGGAAGGGCAGUUGCCUAAUACGUAACUGUUUUGACGUUACCGACAGAAUAAGCACCGGCUAACUCUGUGCCAGCAGCCGCGGUAAUACAGAGGGUGCAAGCGUUAAUCGGAAUUACUGGGCGUAAAGCGCGCGUAGGUGGUUUGUUAAGUUGGAUGUGAAAUCCCCGGGCUCAACCUGGGAACUGCAUUCAAAACUGACUGGCUAGAGUAUGGUAGAGGGUGGUGGAAUUUCCUGUGUAGCGGUGAAAUGCGUAGAUAUAGGAAGGAACACCAGUGGCGAAGGCGACCACCUGGACUGAUACUGACACUGAGGUGCGAAAGCGUGGGGAGCAAAC